CUUAUCAAGAGUGGCGGAGGGACCGGCCCUGUGAAGCCCGGCAACCUGCAUGUGCAAGGUGCCAAAUCCGGCGGUGUAACAUCGAAAGAUGAGG
rnacentral:ncRNA from 1 species